UCUUGAGAGACAGAAUGCUGCAGUGCGUGGAAAAUUGGCCUUCUAGUCAGGAAAAACUGGGUUCCAGUCCUGCCUUUGACUCAUCUAGCUGUGUGACCCUGGUGAAAAAGCAAACUGAACAAGAGGAGGAACCUGGUAUGAAGUUCACCACAAGCAGCAUUCUGGAUGUGAGAACAUAGCCUCCACUGUGUGAAGGAAGUUGUGUGUCCCACCUGUGUAUUGCUGCUGUAUCAACUUCCUCAGAGUAUGACCAUAGACUAGCCCUGAAAGAUGUGACUUGUGGUGGCUGAAAUUAAAAAAAAUAACCAUGUCCUUGAAAGAGAGCUUGUAAAAUUCUCUGCCGUCUUCUGGCACACAUUUUGCAGUGCAGAAAUGACUGCCAAUGGAGCAUGCAUGGAACAGAUGCCAAAAGACAGCUUGGAAACCUCCAAAAAGCUUAGAAACAAGAGUUGCUAUUCAUCCAUAUGGCAGGCUGAGCCCUGGCAUAUCAAGCUCCUCCUUUAGGUUGCCAAGGAACUGAAAUGGUAUUCAGAAUGGAUCGUUUAUUUUAUAAAACCAUUAAACAUUUUAUGAUACCCUUUACAUUAAAAUGGAAGAGUAGACACCCAUAGCAUUGACUUUAAAUCCUUUUUAAAUGAGUAUUAAAUUGUUUAGAGUGAACUAUUUAAUUUUCUAGGUUCUCUAAACGUUACAUUUAAGAAAUGGGAAUAUCUAAAAUGUGUCUUAGAAGAAAACUGAGUACAUAGAUUAUUAAAUAACAUUUCUCUUAAAAAGAAAUUUCUAAUAUUAAUGGAGUCCCCAAACUUCAGAAGAUGCCUUUUUUAUUAUUAUUUAUCAUACACUUAAUCAUUCCAUUCUUUUCUAAACCUUCUCCAAAAUUAUCCCACAUACAUACAUACCUGGAAAACCCUCUCAUUCCCUUAUGCGCAUUCAAAAUAUAUUGAUUCUUUUAGAACUAAUUCUAGUCCCAUCUCCAAAAAUAAAACCUUCUAUGAU